rnacentral:rRNA from 1 species
GAUGAACGCUGGCGGCGUGCCUAAUACAUGCGAGUCGAGCGAACGGACGAGAAGCUUGCUUCUCUGAUGUUAGCGGCGGACGGGUGAGUAACACGUGGAUAACCUACCUAUAAGACUGGGAUAACUUCGGGAAACCGGAGCUAAUACCGGAUGAUAUUUUGAACCGCAUGGUUCAAAAGUGAAAGACGGUCUUGCCGUCACUUAUAGAUGGAUCCGCGCUGCAUUAGCUAGUUGGUAAGGUAACGGCUUACCAAGGCAACGAUGCAUAGCCGACCUGAGAGGGUGAUCGGCCACACUGGAACUGAGACACGGUCCAGACUCCUACGGGAGGCAGCAGUAGGGAAUCUUCCGCAAUGGGCGAAAGCCUGACGGAGCAACGCCGCGUGAGUGAUGAAGGUCUUCGGAUCGUAAAACUCUGUUAUUAGGGAAGAACAUAUGUGUAAGUAACUGUGCACAUCUUGACGGUACCUAAUCAGAAAGCCACGGCUAACUACGUG